rnacentral:rRNA from 1 species
GAGUAGAGUGGCGCACGGGUGAGUAACACGUAGGUAAUUUGCCUUUGGGUGGGGAAUAACUCAGGGAAACUUGAGCUAAUACCGCAUAAUGCAGCGGCUCGACAUCGAGACAGUUGUUAAAGCGGGGGAUCGCAAGACCUCGCGCCUGAAGAGAAGCCUGCGGCAGAUUAGCUAGUUGGUAGGGUAAUGGCCUACCAAGGCGACGAUCUGUAACCGGCCUGAGAGGGCGGUCGGUCACACUGACACUGACAUACGGGUCAGACUCCUACGGGAGGCAGCAGUCGGGAAUUUUGGGCAAUGGGCGAAAGCCUGACCCAGCAACGCCGCGUGAAGGAUGAAAUUUUUCGGAAUGUAAACUUCGCAAGAACGGGAAGAAUAAGUAGAAGCUAAUACCUUCUAUGAUGACGGUACCGUUUGUAAGCUCCGGCUAACUCCGUGCCAGCAC